rnacentral:tRNA from 1 species
CUAACACGACUUUAUUGGAGUGGCAGAGCACGGUAAUUGCAAAAGACCUAAGACCUUGUCUUCGAGAGUUCAAAUCCCUCCCCCAAUU